UACGGAGGAUUCGAGCGUUAUCCGGAUUUAUUGGGUUUAAAGGGAGCGUAGGCGGGUUGUUAAGUCAGUUGUGAAAGUUUGCGGCUCAACCGUAAAAUUGCAGUUGAUACUGGCAUCCUUGAGUACAGUAGAGGUAGGCGGAAUUCGUGGUGUAGCGGUGAAAUGCUUAGACAUCACGAAGAACUCCGAUUGCGAAGGCAGCCUGCUGGACUGUAACUGACGCUGAUGCUCGAAAGUGUGGGUAUCAAACAGG
rnacentral:rRNA from 1 species